CCUUACUGUAGAUGACUUAUUGGGAUAUGAAAAUACCUGUAUUUUGAGAAUAUUUAUUCUCUUCAAGUUUAUGGUGUUUUGUUUUCUCUAGUUCCCACAUCUGGUUGGUUCUGUUUCUUCCUGGACAUCUCCUAGGAUGCUCAACACUGCUCCCUUCUAGGCUUCAACUCUACCUACUACAGGGAAGAAAAAAGGAGUGAAACUAAGUUUUGUCUGCUGUCUAAAUCUCCCACCUUUAGCAAAGAUCAGUGGCAGUGUAUUACCAGGAAGAUAUUUGUUUGAGGAAUUGUGUAAUAGUUAAUUGUAUGUGUCAGGUUGGAGGGUGUUUUUGGAUAAGAUUAAUAAUCUGUGAACUUCGAGUAAAACAAAUCUCACUUCAUAGUGCAGGUGGGCCGUACACAAUCAGCUGAAUGUGCAAAUAGAGCAAAAAGACCAAAUUUCCUGAGCAAGAGAGAAUUCUUCAGCAGAUGCCCUUGGAUUUUAUUACAUCACCAGCUCUCUUGGGUCUCCAGCCUGUGGAUACACACUACAGAUUUGGGACUUGCCGGCCUCCAUAAUCACAUGAGCUGCUAUAUAAAAGUCUGAUUUUCCUGAGACCACCAUGCUGUGAGGAGCUCUGAGCUAGGCAUGUGGCAUGGUCAUGUGGAAGAGCAAUGAAGUGCCAGACAUGUGAGUUAAGUCUUCUGGGAUCUUUCAGUCAAGGUUAGUCACCAGCUGAAUGCAUCUGAGUGAGUGACCCAGCCAAUGACCAUGUCUGUGGAUAUGGAAUAGAACAAACUUUCUAGUUGUCUGACAGGCUUAGGAAAAUGAAUAAAUCAUUGUUCUAAGCC
rnacentral:lncRNA from 1 species